UGGGGGAUCGUUCAACGGUAGGACAAACGACUCUGACUCGUUUUAUCUAGGUUCGAAUCCUAGUCCCCCAGCCA
rnacentral:tRNA from 1 species